rnacentral:rRNA from 1 species
UACGGGGGGGGCAAGCGUUGUUCGGAAUUACUGGGCGUAAAGGGCUCGUAGGCGGCCAACUAAGUCGAACGUGAAAUCCCCGGGCUCAACCCGGGAACUGCGUCCGAUACUGGAAGGCUUGAAUCCGGGAGAGGGAUGUGGAAUUCCAGGUGUAGCGGUGAAAUGCGUAGAUAUCUGGAGGAACACCGGUGGCGAAGGCGACAUCCUGGACCGGUAUUGACGCUGAGGCGCGAAAGCCAGGGGAGCAAAGCGGG